rnacentral:rRNA from 1 species
GCAGGCUUAAUACAUGCAAGUCGUGGGGCAGCGCAGUGUAGCAAUACAUGGGCGGCGACCGGCAAACGGGUGCGGAACACGUACACAACCUUCCUACAAGUGGGGAAUAGCCCAGAGAAAUUUGGAUUAAUACCCCGUAACAUAUAAAGAUGGCAUCAUUUUUAUAUUGUAGCUACGGCGCUUGUUGAUGGGUGUGCGGCUGAUUAGGUAGUUGGCGGGGUAAUGGCCCACCAAGCCUGCGAUCAGUAGCUGAUGUGAGAGCAUGAUCAGCCACACGGGCACUGAGACACGGGCCCGACUCCUACGGGAGGCAGCAGUAAGGAAUAUUGGACAAUGGGCGCAAGCCUGAUCCAGCCAUGCCGCGUGAAGGAUUAAGGUCCUCUGGAUUGUAAACUUCUUUUAUAAGGGACGAAAAAAGGGAAUUCUUUCUCACUUGACGGUACCUUAUGAAUAAGCACCGGCUAACUCCGUGCCAGCAGCCGCGGUAAUACGGAGGGUGCAAGCGUUAUCCGGAUUCACUGGGUUUAAAGGGUGCGUAGGCGGGUAUUUAAGUCAGUGGUGAAAUCCUAGAGCUUAACUCUAGAACUGCCAUUGAUACUAUUUAUCUUGAAUAUUGUGGAGGUAAGCGGAAUAUGUCAUGUAGCGGUGAAAUGCUUAGAUAUGACAUAGAACACCUAUUGCGAAGGCAGCUUACUACGCAUAUAUUGACGCUGAGGCACGAAAGCGUGGGGAUCAAACAGGAUUAGAUACCCUGGUAGUCCACGCCCUAAACGAUGGAUACUCGACAUACGCGAUACACUGUGUGUGUCUGAGCGAAAAGCAUUNAGUAUCCCCACCUGGGAAGUAACGACCGCAAGG